CUGACACAGGGAGGUAGUGACAAGAAAUAACAAUACAGGGCUACAUCUAGUCUUGUAAUUGGAAUGAGUACAACUUACAUCUCUUCACGAGGAUCAAUUGGAGGGCAAGUCUGGUGCCAGCAGCCGCGGUAAUUCCAGCUCCAAUAGCGUAUAUUAAAGUUGUUGCAGUUAAAACGCUCGUAGUCGGAUUUCGGGUCCUGUCCGCCGGUUUGCCGUUGGGUAUACACUGGUGGGCGCGUCCUUCCUUCCGGAGACCGCGCCUCCUCUUAGCUGAGCGGGCGUGGGAGACGGAUCGUUUACUUUGAAAAAAUCAGAGUGUUUCACGCAGGCAGUCUGCUCUUGCAUGGAUUAGCAUGGGAUGAUGAAAUAGGACUCUGGUGCUAUUUUGUUGGUUUCGAGCACCGGAGUAAUGAUUAACAGGGACAGUCAGGGGCACUCGUAUUCCGCAGAGAGAGGUGAAAUUCUCAGACCCGCGGAAGACGAACCACUGCG
rnacentral:rRNA from 1 species